UGGGGAAUAUUGCACAAUGGGCGAAAGCCUGAUGCAGCAACGCCGCGUGGGUGAUGAAGGUUUUCGGAUCGUAAAGCCCUGUCUUUUGGGACGAUAAUGACGGUACCAAAGGAGGAAGCCACGGCUAACUACGUGCCAGCAGCCGCGGUAAUACGUAGGUGGCAAGCGUUGUCCGGAUUUACUGGGCGUAAAGGGAGCGUAGGCGGACCUUUAAGUGAGAUGUGAAAUACCCGAGCUCAACUUGGGUGCUGCAUUUCAAACUGGAGGUCUAGAGUGUCGGAGAGGUAAGUGGAAUUCCUAGUGUAGCGGUGAAAUGCGUAGAGAUUAGGAAGAACCCCGGUGGCGAAGGCGACUUACUGGACGAUAACUGACGCUGAGGCUCGAAAGCGUGGGGAGCAAACAGG
rnacentral:rRNA from 1 species